ensembl:snoRNA SNORA70 Small nucleolar RNA SNORA70
UUGCAGCCAAUUAGGCCGACUGCGCUCUUUUCCCCAUAGGGGCUCAGUGUGCGAUGGCUGCAGACAGCAGCCUCCGUGGUCGUGUACACAGCCUGUUCCCAGGACUGGUUGCCAAGGGACCUUGGAGACAACU